UUUCAUGAUGGACAAGCACUCCUUCAUGACGGAGCAGGAUAUGCCUUCUGUACCAUGUGGUACAAACCAAACAUCACUCCUGAACCCUGCUAUAAAGAUGAACUCUAUCAUCUGGUCGAAGUAAAACUCACUGCACAAGACUUCUACUGUGAUUCUGAAGGCAACAGUAUGGUCUUGAUUCAUCUACCUCCGGAACUCAAGCAUUUGUACCGUCAUUGGGACACUGCCAUUCCACAUGUCCCUGUGACCAAGUUGAAAAUAAUAUCAUGGAAUGAUCUUGGGCCUAUGGCAAACGUAUGGGCCACUAUGGACGAAUCACAG